UAGGACUGGUAAAGUCGAGGAAAAGGUUAUUUUAAGAUAAAUUAAUAGUUUAAUUAUAUAAUACAACCAAGGUGUACAACUCAACCAAAAUCAACGUGCACGGGUUCCUGAAAAUGAUGUCCAGAUUAUUCAAUCCCUUUGACUACGAUUCAAUGGAGAAUAAGAAGAGUGACCGAACGGCGUUAAUCUCGUCGUUCAAAACCCUUCACGAGGCGAAGAAGAUGAGCAAUUUCAUUGUUGAUAUGAAAAAUGAUGUGAUGGAUGACUAUUUCUCGGCCCACUUUGAUUUUUCCUACAAAAUGAUCAUCAAACUCAAUGAAUGCAGGGGAAUCAAAAUAACGAACGAGGAAACGUUUGCGUUUGACUUCCUGGUGUGUUUCCUUCAGUCCAAAGCAGUGGCCCGUUUCUGGAGGUUUUACGAAUUCCCGUUGGAAGUAUUUUACUUAACUUAUUUUGCCAACGAGUCUUUUCAAUUUAUUUUCCACCUAUUUUACAGAAAAGCAGUGUGAUUCCCGCGGAAAACGAUCUUAACUCACCGUGCUUGACGU